rnacentral:rRNA from 1 species
CCUACGGGGCGCAGCAGUCGAGAAUCAUUCACAAUGGGGGAAACCCUGAUGAUGCGACGCCGCGUGGGGGAAUGAAGGUCUUCGGAUGGUAAACCCCUGUCAUGUGGGAGAAAAUUAAAAAGAUCGUACCACAAUAGGCAGCGACGGCUAACUCUGUGCCAGCAGCCGCGGUAAUACAGAGGUCUCAAGCGUUGUUCGGAAUCACUGGGCGUAAAGCGUGAGUAGGCUGUUUCGUAAGUCGUGUGUGAAAGGCGCGGGCUCAACCCGCGGACGGCACAUGAUACUGCGAGACUAGAGUAAUGGAGGGGGAACCGGAAUGCUCGGUGUAGCAGUGAAAUGCGUAGAUAUCGGGAGGAACACUCGUGGCGAAGGCGGGUUGCUGGACAUUAACUGACGCUGAGGCACGAAGGCCAGGGGAGCGAAAGGGAUUAGAUACCCGUGUAGUC